AUUGAACGCUGGCGGCAGGCCUAACACAUGCAAGUAGAGCGGAGCGGCGGACGGGUGAGUAAUGCAUAGGAAUCUGCCUGGUAGUGGGGGAUAACGUCCGGAAACGGGCGCUAAUACCGCAUACUAUCAGAUGAGCCUAGGUCGGAUUCUCUAGUUGGUGGGGUAAAGGCCUAACAAGGCGACGAUCCGUAACUGGGCUGAGAGGAUGAUCAGGCACACGUGAACUGAGACACUGUCCAGACCCCUACGUGAGGGCGCAGUGGGGAAUAUUGGACAAUGGGCGAAAGCCUGAUCCAGCCAUGCCGCGUGUGUGAAGAAGGUCUUCGGAUUGUAAAGCACUUUAAGUUGGGAGGCGUUACCAACAGAAUAAGCACCGGCUAACUUCGUGCCAGCCGCCGCGGUAAUAC
rnacentral:rRNA from 1 species